CCAGAGGUGUUUCUGUUUGACAGCUGAGUCUCUUGGUGAUGGACCCUUAACUGGGCUUUUCUCCCAUGAGCACAUGGAUCAUGGUCUGAGAUGUCCCUGCCCCCAGUGUCUUUAGAAGGUGCUCUGCCCUGUGCACUCAUUAGGUUUCUAUCAACCUUGACCACUGAGUUCUUGCCUCCAGGCUUUAAGCUUCUUGUUCUUUUUAACUAGGAAGAUGCCCUGAUCUACACUCACCAGACAGAUCGAGCCUCUUUGUUUCCACAGCAGCCAUUGAAUAAUACUUAAACAGCAUGCAAACCACCAACUCAUGAAGCUUUCCACCUCUCAGAGUCCGUCAGAACAGCAUAGAGCAGCUGGGUAUGGUGGCUCCCACCUAUAAUCCUGGCCAUUUGAGGGACUGAAGCAGGAUUGCCACAACUCAAGACCACAGAAAUCUCCGCAGACAACAACAAAAAUAAAAUAACAAAGGCCUCA